rnacentral:tRNA from 1 species
GGGCCUAUAGCUCAGCUGGUAGAGCGCCACGUUUACACCGUGGACGUCGGGGGUUCGAGUCCCUCUGGGCCCAC